rnacentral:rRNA from 1 species
UGACGGGCCGCACAAGCGGUGAGUAUGUGGUUUAAUCGACGCAACGCGCAGAACCUUACCUGGUCUUGACAUCCCGAGAAUUUUCUGGAAACAGAGAAGUGCCUCGCAAGAGGAAUUUCGGAGACAGGUGCUGCAUGGCUGUCGUCAGCUCGUGUCGUGAGAUGUUGGGUUAAGUCCCGCAACGAGCGCAACCCUUGUCUUUAGUUGCCAUCAUUAAGUUGGGCACUCUAAAGAGACUGCCGGUGUCAAACCGGAGGAAGGUGGGGAUGACGUCAAGUCCUCAUGGCCUUUAUGACCAGGGCUACACACGUACUACAAUGGCAGGUACAAAGGGCAGCCACUUAGCGAUAAGGCGCGAAUCCCGUAAAACCUGUCUCAGUUCGGAUUGUAGGCUGCAACUCGCCUACAUGAAGUCGGAAUCGCUAGUAAUCGCGGAUCAGCACGCCGCGGUGAAUACGUUCCCGGGCCUU